UGAACGCUGGCGGCGUGCCUUACACAUGCAAGUCGGAUGUGUCGCAAGACGCAUGGCAGACGGGUGAGUAACACGUGGGAAACUUACCUCUUAGUGGGGAAUAACGCUCCGAAAGGAGCGGUGAUACCGCAUGAGACCUAUCGCUGGGAUGCGAUAGAUGAAAGCUGGGGAUCGUAAGACCUAGCGCUGAGAGAGAGUCCUGCGUCUGAUUAGUUAGUUGGUGAGGUAGCGGCUCACCAAGACUUCGAUCAGUAGCCGGCCUGAGAGGGCGAUCGGCCACACUGGAACUGAGACACGGUCCAGACUCCUACGGGAGGCAGCAGUGGGGAAUCUUGCGCAAUGGGCGAAAGCCUGACGCAGCAACGCCGCGUGGGUGAUGAAGGUCUUCGGAUUGUAAAACCCUGUCGUUAGGGACGAAGGUAUGAAUCCUAAUACGGUUCAUGCUUGACGGUACCUAGAACGGAAGCCCCGGCUAACU
rnacentral:rRNA from 1 species